AAGGAGCAUCAACUGGCUCAGGUCGACCCCCUUUAGGGGUGUCUGGGUCGGUGGCCGCCGUUGACGGCGCACGUCCGUCAGGUGGCUGCUCAUAGAUGUGGAGCACUGGCUAUUCAGCUCACCACUGGUGUGAGCCGGCAAGUACCGUCCCGGGUGACCGGGGAGUGGGAACGGCGGUUUCGGGCGGGUGGUGGGCUGGACACGCUGUUGGGUCCUGAGGGAACGGGCGUUAAGCCCGGUGGCCUCGGACUGCGGGACCAGGACCGCAUCCCUUUGCGGGGGUGGGGGUCUGGGUGGGCCCGGUUGUUUUUUGAGAACUGCACAGUGGACGCGAGCAUCUCUGGUGAGGGGUUGUGGCUUCGGGUCAUGUAUCUCUCAUCUGCGAUUUGUUUUGAUCGUUUCGU
rnacentral:misc_RNA from 1 species